GAUGAACGCUGGCGGCGUGCCUAAUACAUGCAAGUCGAGCGAACGGACGAGAAGCUUGCUUCUCUGAUGUUAGCGGCGGACGGGUGAGUAACACGUGGAUAACCUACCUAUAAGACUGGGAUAACUUCGGGAAACCGUAGCUAAUACCGGAUAAUAUUUUGAACCGCAUGGUUCAAUAGUGAAAGACGGUCUUGCUGUCACUUAUAGAUGGAUCCACGCUGCAUUAGCUAGUUGGUAAGGUAACGGCUUACCAAGGCAACGAUGCAUAGCCGACCUGAGAGGGUGAUCGGCCACACUGGAACUGAGACACGGUCCAGACUCCUACGGGAGGCAGCAGUAGGGAAUCUUCCGCAAUGGGCGAAAGCCUGACGGAGCAACGCCGCGUGAGUGAUGAAGGUCUUCGGAUCGUAAAACUCUGUUAUUAGGGAAGAACAUAUGUGUAAGUAACUGUGCACAUCUUGACGGUACCUAAUCAGAAAGCCACGGCUAACUACGUG
rnacentral:rRNA from 1 species